AAGAAAGUUUACAAGAACUGCUAAUUCAUGUUACCGUGUCUAAACACUCGGCUUUCUU
rnacentral:tRNA from 1 species